CAAUAGCGUAUAUUUAAGUUGUUGCAGUUAAAAAGCUCGUAGUUGGAUUUCGGUUAAGAGCGACCGGUCCGCCGUUUGGUGUGCACUGGUUGGUUUUAACUUCCUGUAGAGGACGUGCUCUGGGUUUAACGACCUGGACUCGGAGUCUACGUGGUUACUUUGAAAAAAUUAGAGUGUUCAAAGCGGGCUUACGCUUGAAUAUUUCAGCAUGGAAUAACACUAUAGGACUCCUGUCCUAUUUCGUUGGUCUCGGGACGGGAGUAAUGAUUAAGAGGAACAGUUGGGGGCAUUCGUAUUUCAUUGUCAGAGGUGAAAUUCUUGGAUUUAUGGAAGACGAACUUCUGCGAAAGCAUUUGCCAAGGAUGUUUUCAUUAA
rnacentral:rRNA from 1 species